AACGAACGCUGGCGGCGUGCCUAACACAUGCAAGUCGAGCGUGAAAGUUCCUUCGGGAAUGAGUAAAGCGGCAGACGGGUGAGUAAUACGUGGAUAAUCUUCCCUCGAGCUUGGGAUAACCCCGCGAAAGUGGGGCUAAUACCGGAUAAGACCACAUGGCAAAUGCUACGUGGUAGAAGGUGGCUUGUAUUUAUAUGAGCUAUCACUUGAGGACGAGUCCAUGGCCUAUCAGCUUGUUGGUGAGGUAAGAGCUCACCAAGGCUAUGACGGGUAGCUGGUCUGAGAGGACGACCAGCCACACUGGGACUGAGACACGGCCCAGACUCCUACGGGAGGCUG
rnacentral:rRNA from 1 species